rnacentral:rRNA from 1 species
GACCUCGGAUCAGGUAGGAAUACCCGCUGAACUUAAGCAUAUCAAUAAGCGGAGGAAAAGAAACCAACAGGGAUUGCCCUAGUAACGGCGAGUGAAGCGGCAAUAGCUCAAAUUUGAAAUCUGGCCUUCGGGUCCGAGUUGUAAUUUGUAGAGGAUGCUUUUGGCGCGGUGCCUUCCGAGUUCCCUGGAACGGGACGCCUUAGAGGGUGAGAGCCCCGUACGGUUGGACACCAAGCCUCUGUAAAGCUCCUUCGACGAGUCGAGUAGUUUGGGAAUGCUGCUCUAAAUGGGAGGUAAAUUUCUUCUAAAGCUAAAUAUUGGCCAGAGACCGAUAGCGCACAAGUAGAGUGAUCGAAAGAUGAAAAGCACUUUGAAAAGAGGGUUAAAUAGUACGUGAAAUUGUUGAAAGGGAAGCGUUUGCGACCAGACCUUUUCCUGGCGGAUCAUCCGGUGUUCUCACCGGUGCACUUCGCCAGGUUUAGGCCAGCAUCGGUUUUCGCAGGGGGAUAAAAGCUCUGGGAACGUAGCUCCUCCGGGAGUGUUAUAGCCCUCUGCAUAAUACCCUUGCGGGGACCGAGGACCGC